AUACGUAGGGUGCAAGCGUUAAUCGGAAUUACUGGGCGUAAAGGGAGCGCAGACGGCGAUGCAAGUCUGAAGUGAAAUUCCACGGCUUAACUGUGGAACUGCUUUGGAAACUGUAUUGCUAGAGUGCUGGAGAGGUAAGCGGAAUUCCCAGUGUAGCGGUGAAAUGCGUAGAUAUUGGGAAGAACACCGGUGGCGAAGGCGGCUUACCGGACAGUAACUGACGUUCAUGCUCGAAGGCGUGGGGAGCAAACAGGAUUAGAUACCCUGGUAGUCCACGCGGUAAACGAUGAAUACUAGGGGUUGGCAGCCAAAGGAUGUCGGUGCCGUCGCAAACGCAUUAAGUAUUCCACCUGGGGAGUACGUUCGCAAGAAUGAAACUCAAAUGAAUUGGCGGGG
rnacentral:rRNA from 1 species